rnacentral:lncRNA from 1 species
UGUCGAUCUUGUUAAUAUAUUUAAAACAAGACACAUAAAUUACAACUACAGACUCUAUUAUAUUAGAUUUGCGAAUCUCUUGUUUCAUAUGUCUCUGUUAAAUGUGAAUGUGAAUUCAGUCCGGUCAACUUUAUUUUGAAGAAAGUUUAUAUUUUCAUAUCAUAUAUUUAUUGAUGUCGCAGUUUCAUGACUUAAAUCAGCUGCUUAAAU